rnacentral:rRNA from 1 species
GACGGAGGGGGCAAGCGGUAUCCGGAAUUAUUGGGCGUAAAGGGUACGUAGGCGGCUGGUCAAGUCUGGGGUUAAAGGCUACAGCUCAACUGUGGGAAGGCCCUGGAAACUGACCGGCUAGAGUGAGGUAGGGGUUGCGGGAAUUCCCGGUGUAGCGGUGAAAUGCGUAGAGAUCGGGAAGAACACCUGAGGCGGAAGCGCGCAACUGGGCCUCAACUGACGCUGAGGUACGAAAGCUAGGGGAGCGAAUGGG